GACAUAGGGGGCAAGCGUUAUCCGGAAUCACUGGGCGUAAAGGGAGCGUAGGCGGAAGAUUAAGUUAAGUGUGAAAGCCUUGGGCUCAACCCAAGAAAUGCACUUGAUACUGGUUUUCUAGAGUAUGGGAGAGGUAAGUGGAAUUCCUAGUGUAGCGGUAGAAUGCGUAGAUAUUAGGAGGAACAUCAGAGGCGAAGGCGGCUUACUGGACCAUAACUGACGCUGAGGCUCGAAAGCGUGGGGAGCAAAC
rnacentral:rRNA from 1 species